CCGAAAUCCCCAAAUCGACCUAGCCUCCUCCCGCACACUCCGCUGCCGCCGCCCACCCUCCGCCACACCCCAGUGCCAGCUUCCUUCCCGACCACGCCGCCAACCACCGUCCGCCACACCCACUGCCACUCCCUCCCGGACCAUGCCGCCGAGCACCCUCCGCCGCCCCGACCACCAUUGGCCGGACCUCCAGCAGCGCCCAAGCAGCCAAGCCUCCUCCACGCGCUCUCCGCCAGGCUCGAGUUGCUCAAGCGUUUCAGCGGAAGGAUCUGUUCGGGUGAUGAAGGAUGGCUUCUAUCUUCCACCAGAUUUCGCAUGACCACGAGGUAAUCCAGUUAGGUUUAGUUUGGAUUUGGCUGUCUUGCUCGGUGUCGCCGCCGCCGAGCUGCGUCCCGAUGCCGACGUCGCUGCUGCUGGACGCCAGCGCCGGGCGGAAGAAGAUGCCGACCCCGUGCGCCGUGCAGGUGGCUGGCGGGGGGCGUGGAGGUCGGCGCCACCAAAACAAGCUGGUCCUCUCGAUCUAGCAGUUCGCCUUGGUCUGUUCUUCAUCCUAGACCGAGCGGAGUAUGCUUCAUCCUGCAGGUCUAGUACCAGUCGUCCUGCUCUGUACUGAAAUUCAGUUCGCUUUCUUCCACUAUUACUCCAUUUUUUGCUCAAGUAGGUACUGCUCAAGUACCAGUCGCCCACGCUUGAGUACACCCCGAUGGAGUAAAUGUCAUCAGGUUCUUUCAGUCAUCUUUGCUCAAGUAGGUCCCCCAUGGCAUUGGCAAGAAGAAGAAUGAAUACUGAAAUCAAGUCAGAAUAACAAGGAUCACAGCACCUGGAACUGCCUGAUGUACUCCACCAUCGGACGGCGAACAUCUCCGCCAUCGGACGAGGGAAGCGGGGGGAGAACGGGAUCCCCAACGCGGCGCCGGCGCGCACCCGGUCCAUCGGUAGUAUACUCGUUCAGUCAUCUUUGCUCAAGGGAAGUGUAACUGAAGAUGAGUACUCACACCUUGGCUGCUGAUAAAGGCGAUGGCGAAGCGGUUCUGGGAUCAUCGGCGCUGAGAGAGGAUUGUACCCAGGGGCUCAUUAAACUCUACGUUCCUGUUACAAAGAGGCCUGAAUGCCUACAUGACCAUGAUGUUCUUUGUUGCUGUCAAAGAAAAUCUUUGGUGGGAGCACAUUUGAUCCAUUUAGUGAGCACAUUUUCUAGGAGUAGAAAUCAGUGUUAACUGACAAAUGUUCAGUAAAUGGAUGCUAUCAAAGAUUUUAUUUACUGCUGUCAUAUUAGUGUUAGCGGUAUAUGCUCUAUGUAAACUCUAUUUAGAGAUUCAGUGAUGGGUUGAUUUACAAAUACUGAAGAUUUGGAGUAGAUGGGAUAAGCUUGACAACAACUACUCAAUUUGCUUGGAGUAGGCCUAUUUUGCUUGCAAUAAGUUGGAGUGCAGCAAGUGAGUAGUGCUCAGUACUGUUAAGUUAGAGUAGUCAUGUUUAGUUCAGUACUGUUGAGUUAGAGUAGUCAACAAGUGUUGCUUAGGACUACACUGAACAUGUUGCACCUAACUGACCAUAUUCAAAGCAAGUUAAAUGAAAAGCAAGUUAAUGUCAAGUUAACUGACCAUAUUCAAGUUAACUGACCAUUUUGACAAUAAGCGUUCAUUUAAGUUAACAGUAAAUCAAGUUAAUGUCAAGUUAACAGUAAAUCAAGUUAACUGAAAAGCAAGUUAAUGUCAAGUUACUUUGUCAACUUGUUUCUGUUCACAGUGGUGAAAUUUUGUCAAAAUGCUUGUUACUGACCAUUUACUCUUGUCAAAAUGCUUGUUCCAGUGUAUUGACCAUUUAAUCUACUGACCAUUUAUAUCAUGGAUGGAGAAGUUCAUUUUGCUGUGUACUGAUGGAGAAGGUCAUUUUGCUGUGUACUGAAAGCACUCACAAUGCUUGUUCCAGUAUAAAUAAUGUUUAGUUAAAACUGAAUUAAUCUUUUCAGUACAACUAAAUGAUCCACUGUUCUUCUGAACAAUGACAUGCUUUGUAUAAAUACUGUUUAGUGCAUAUUACUCCUAUACUCAUCAGUGCAUUUUACAAUGAUAUACAGAUCGAGUGUAGUCAUUUGGUACUUGCCUUUGAAGUUGUAGCCCCUGUAGUAAUGUCAAAAUGAUGCUUAUCUACUCAUGUCAAUUAAGUGAUGGAACUACAAGUACUCCAUUAAGUGAUGUAACAUCAUCAUGUACUGGCACCAUUUUUGCCUUGCUUGUUACUCCAUGCUGGUCCCAUGUCAAUUAAGUGAUGGAACUACAAGUACUCCGUUCCAUAAUUUUUAUCGUGGUUUUAGUUCAAAUGGAACAGAGGGAUUAAUUGGCAGUGCCAAAUGCAGAAGCAUUUGGUUCUCAACAUUGAACAUGGGUUUAGACUGAAUUUGACAAGGAACAUGGGUUUAGGCAUAUUUGGAUGCCUGAUGGAAAAUGUGAGCUGCAGCCUGCACACUGGACCUGUUAACUCCUGAAUUUCAGUGCACUUGCGCCUUUUAUUUGUUUGCUUUCAAAUUCUAGUGAUUCCUCAAAUUCUGCUGUAAAUUACUGCUGUUGUCGCGCUGUUUAACUGAUUCCUCAAAUUCUGCUGUAAAUUCCAGUGUACGGGCGAGGAGUACCUGCCUGGAGUGUUGUUUGCGGCGAGGACCAAGCUGGGCAGCGUUGAGAGGACCAGGCUGGUGUGGCGAGGACCAAAUUGGGAGCGGCGGAGGUGGCGAUCAAAUUGAGAGCGGCGGCGACCAAACUGGGCAAUGAUGACGGGGAAGAGUCUGGCGAAGGGGCCUGCUGGUGGAUGGACUAGCAGCUGGAGGAGGUGGAGGGCGGAGGAGGAGGUGGCCGGCCUGGUGGAGGAAGACGACGACUCUCAGCGACAACUCUCGUUUUCAAAUCAGGGGUAUUUUUGUACUUUUUUUCGUUUUCACCUUGUCGGAAAUUUCUCCCAGCUACAACUAUGUUGGUACAGAGGGAGUAAUCUGCAUGUUGGUUUGUGUUCUUCAGCAAUCACGAUACUACUUUGUGAUCUGAUUAGUGAGAGGUAUUUUGCAUGGUUCUCUUA